rnacentral:ncRNA from 1 species
CGCGAUAAAGGCAAGCCCCGGGCAAUCGGGGGACGCUAAGUAAAGGGCCUUUUGCUAAGACCGUAUCAAAAAGAUAGCCUUACUGCCGAAG